AGAAAGUAACUUCUCCUUCAGAGAAAGAAUUUACUGUUUGUUAGCAAUCCUUGGCGGAGAAGGCAAUGGCACCCCACUCCAGUACUCUUGCCUGGAAAAUCCCAUGGGCUGAGGAGCCUGGUAGGCUGCAGUCCAUGGGGUCGCUAAGAGUCGGACACGACUGAGCGACUUCACUUUCACUUUUCACUUUCAUGCAUUGGAGAAGGCAAUGGCAACCCACUCCAGUGUUCAUGCCUGGAGAAUCCCAGGGACGGGGGAGCUUGGUUGGCUGCUGUCUACGGGGUCGCACAGAGUUGGACACGACUGAAGUGACUUAGCAGCAACAGCAGCAAUCCUUGGGCCUUCCCGGGUGGCGCUAGUGGUAAAGAAUUCACCUGCCAAUGCCAGAGACGCAAGAGACAUGGGUUCUAUCCCUGGGUUGGAAACCCGUGAAGGAGGAGAUGGCAACCCACUCCAGUAUUCUUGCCUGGAAAAUUCCAUGGACAGAGGAUCCUGGUGGCCUACUGUCCACGGGGUCGCAAAAAUUCAGACACUGAGCAUGCACACAGAUUCAACAAAAGCAAACCUUAUUCUUACUCUGAAAUCAUAGAAAAGAGUAAAUUAUCCCCAUUAUAAUGGACCAGACUAAAGCUGAGCUUGAGGCCUUGGACACUACCUCCUACAUAGGGAGCCAGCUGUCUAAAGGCUUUGUCUAAGAGCUUCUAAAAAAGAACCAGACUUGGCUGACAGGGCCCAUAGAUCCUUGCUUAGCUAUUAGCAAGCCUUCGGGGCUAGGGGGCGGGGUAUACUGGCAGAUUUUAUUAAACUACAGUCUUAAUAUGGUGGUACUGGAGAUGACCCAGACCUCAGGAGCUGGGACAGCAAACUUCUCUCUGGCCUUGAGAGCUAAAAUUCCUCCAUCUGGCCAUGGGCCAGCCCUAGAGAAUCAAGAAAGUGGGAAGCCAUGGAAAUGUUCUGUGUUUGUGCCAAAGAAAAGUUUUGACCAGAGUUUUCCAUGCAGGAUUGUUUCACAUGUGUAUGUGUGUUAAAUAUUUUGUAACAUCUAAUUUAAGAAGAAGUUCAACCAUAAAAAAAACAAAAGAAGUCCAACUAAGCCAAGAGCGGAAAUGGUCAGAGUUCAGUCCCCACCCACUAAAGCCUCAGGCCAGAUCUGGAAUAGAGAUCUCAAGAGCACAGGCCUUUGAAGAGGCAGCUCUGAUGGCUCGUAGGGUGCUGAGUGCCAUCCUGAUGUUUCAGUGCCCAGAAAGGUCAGCACAUCUCUUGGGUGAAUUUCAGAGGGGACUGAUAAACAUCUUGGGAGACUGGAAGAAAAGAUCAAAGGGAUCAGAGGAUGGCCAGUAGGUUUUUUAUUUAUUUUUAAUUGAAGGAUAAUUCUUUACAGUAUUGUGCUGGUGUCUGUCAUACAUCAACAUGAAUCAGCCAUAGCUAUACAUAUGUCCCCUGCCUCUUAAACCUCCCCCCACCUCCCACCCCAUCCCACCUCUCUAGGUUAUCACAGAGCCCCACUUUCAGUUCCCUGAGUCAUACAGCAAAUUCCCACUGGCUAUCUAUUUCACAUAUGUUAGUGAAUAUGUCUCCGUUCUACUCUCUCCAUUCACCCCACCCUCUCCACCAUCCCCAUCCCCAUGUGCCUAAGUCUGUUCUCUACAUCUGCAUCUCCACGGCUGCCCUGCAAGUAGGUUCAUCGGUACCGUCUUUCUAGAUUCCAUAUACAUGCAUUAAUAUACGAUAUUUGUCUUUCUGACUGACUUCACUCUGUAUAAUAGGCUCUAGGUUCGUCCAUCUCAUGAGCACUGACUCAAAUGUUUUCCUUUUUAUGACUGAGUAACAUUCCAUUGUGUAUAUGUACCACAGCUUCUUUACCCAUUCACCUGUCAAUGGACAUCUAGGUUGCUUCCAUGCCCUAGCUAUUGUAACUAGUGCUGCGGUAAACAUUGGAGUACAUGUAACUUUUUUCAAUUAUGACUUUCUCAGGGUACAUGCCUAUGUGGGAUUGUUGGGUCAUAUGGUAGUUUUAUUCCUAGUUUUUAAAGGCAUCUCCAGUGCAAGAAGUCUCCCUUUUCUCUACACCCUCUCCAGCAUUUAUUGUUUGUAGAUUUUUUGUGUAAGCUCAUUAGGUUUUAGGUAUGCUGGCACUCAAGAAUAAGAGAAGAACUUUCCAGUUACGAGCACCCAAGGACCAGAAGAGGAAGGAACACAUUUCAAAUGGAAUCUACCCAGUUGGAGACCAAAGAAGACUGUCCAAAUCUCUGUACUCAUCUUGGCUGUGGGGUCCUGUCACUCAGUCGUGUCUGACUCUGCGACUCCCAUGGACUUCAGCACACCAGGCUUCCCUGUCCUUCACGAUCUCCCGGAAUUUGCUCAAACUCAUCUCCAUUGAAUCAGUGAUGCUAUCCAACCAUCUCAUCCUGUGUCAUCCCCUUCUCCUCCUGCCUUCAAUCUUUGCCAUCAUCAGAGUCUUUCCCAAUGAAUCAGCUCUUCACAUCCAGUGGCCCAAGUAUUAGCACAACAUCCAUCAUCAAGUAGGCACUGGAUAAAGAGUGCCGCUCUUUGUCUCAUCAUAAUCUUGUCUUCGGGCUUCCUGGUGGUCCAGUGUUUAAGAAUCUGCCUGCCAACGCAGGGGACACGAUUCAGUCCCUGGUUGGGGAAGAUCCCACAUGCUGCGGGGCAGCUAAGCCCAGGAACACAACUACUGAAGCCCUCGCGUGCCUGUGUUCCGCAACUAGAGAAGUGGCCACAGUGAGAAGCCUAUGCACCUCAACUAGAGAAUAGCCCCUGCUCUCCACAGCUAGAGAAAAGCCCGUUCGCAACAACAAAGACCCAGUGCAACCAGAAAUAUAUUAAAAAAUAAAUAAAAUUUUUUUAAAUGGGUUGUUUUAA
ensembl:lncRNA